GCGGCGUGAUUACAAACCGGACGUCUGAAGGUCAACCGACCGCAGAGUCGAUGUGG
rnacentral:snoRNA from 1 species